rnacentral:rRNA from 1 species
CCAGACUCCUACGGGAGGCAGCAGUGGGGAAUAUUGGACAAUGGGGGGAACCCUGAUCCAGCGACGCCGCGUGAGUGAAGAAGUAUUUCGGUAUGUAAAGCUCUAUCAGCAGGGAAGGAAGAAAUGACGGUACCUGACUAAGAAGCCCCGGCUAACUACGUGCCAGCAGCCGCGGUAAUACGUAGGGGGCAAGCGUUAUCCGGAUUUACUGGGUGUAAAGGGAGCGUAGGCGGCGCGUUAAGCCUGGUGUGAAAGCCCGCGGCCCAACCGCGGGACUGCAUUGGGAACUGGCGCGCUGGAGUGGCGGAGGGGUAGGCGGAAUUCCUAGUGUAGCGGUGAAAUGCGUAGAUAUUAGGAGGAACGCCAGUGGCGAAGGCGGCCUACUGCACGGUGACUGACGCUGAGGCUCGAAAGCGUGGGGAGCAAACAGGAUUAGAUCCCCUUGUA